rnacentral:rRNA from 1 species
ACGAACGCUGGCGGCACGCUUAACACAUGCAAGUCGAACGAGAGAAGAGGAGCUUGCUUUUCUGAUCUAGUGGCGGACGGGUGAGUAACACGUGAGCAAUCUGCCUUUCAGAGGGGGAUACCGAUUGGAAACGAUCGUUAAUACCGCAUAACAUAAUUGAACCGCAUGAUUUGAUUAUCAAAGAUUUAUCGCUGAAAGAUGAGCUCGCGUCUGAUUAGCUAGUUGGUAAGGUAACGGCUUACCAAGGCGACGAUCAGUAGCCGGACUGAGAGGUUGAUCGGCCACAUUGGGACUGAGACACGGCCCAGACUCCUACGGGAGGCAGCAGUGGGGAAUAUUGCACAAUGGAGGAAACUCUGAUGCAGCAAUGCCGCGUGAGGGAAGAAGGUUUUAGGAUUGUAAACCUCUGUCUUCAGGGACGAAAAAAGACGGUCCUGAGGAGGAAGCUCCGGCUAACUACGUGCCAGCAGCCGCGGUAAUACGUAGGGAGCGAGCGUUGUCCGGAAUUACUGGGUGUAAAGGGAGCGUAGGCGGGAUCGCAAGUCAGAUGUGAAAACUAUGGGCUUAACCCAUAAACUGCAUUUGAAACUGUGGUUCUUGAGUGAAGUAGAGGUAAGCGGAAUUCCUAGUGUAGCGGUGAAAUGCGUAGAUAUUAGGAGGAACAUCAGUGGCGAAGGCGGCUUACUGGGCUUUAACUGACGCUGAGGCUCGAAAGCGUGGGGAGCAAACAGGAUUAGAUACCCUGGUAGUCCACGCCGUAAACGAUGAUUACUAGGUGUGGGGGGACUGACCCCUUCCGUGCCGCAGCAAACGCAAUAAGUAAUCCACCUGGGGAGUACGACCGCAAGGUUGAAACUCAAAGGAAUUGACGGGGGCCCGCACAAGCAGUGGAGUAUGUGGAUUAAUUCGAAGCAACGCGAAGAACCUUACCAGGUCUUGACAUCGUAUGCAUAGCUCAGAGAUGAGUGAAAUCUCUUCGGAGACAUAUAGACAGGUGGUGCAUGGUUGUCGUCAGCUCGUGUCGUGAGAUGUUGGGUUAAGUCCCGCAACGAGCGCAACCCUUACUGUUAGUUGCUACGCAAGAGCACUCUAGCAGGACUGCCGUUGACAAAACGGAGGAAGGUGGGGAUGACGUCAAAUCAUCAUGCCCCUUAUGACCUGGGCCUCACACGUACUACAAUGGCUGUCAACAGAGGGAUGCAAAGCCGCGAGGUGGAGCGAACCCCUAAAAGCAGUCUUAGUUCGGAUUGUAGGCUGCAACCCGCCUACAUGAAGUCGGAAUUGCUAGUAAUCGCAGAUCAGCAUGCUGCGGUGAAUACGUUCCCGGGCCUUGUACACACCGCCCGUCACGCCAUGGGAGUCGGUAACACCCGAAGCCUGUAGUCUAACCGCAAGGAGGACGCAGUCGAAGGUGGGAUUGAUGACUGGGGUG